rnacentral:RNase_P_RNA from 1 species
GGAGCUGGGCGGGUGAUCGCGGGAUCAGGUGAUUCUUUCACACCUGAUCCUGAGGAAAGUCCGGACUCCGAGGACAGGGUGCUGGAUAACGUCCAGAGGGAGUGAUCCCUGGAUAGGGCCAUAGAAAAGGAAACCGCCCUUCCAUGGUGAAGGGCAAGGGUGGAAAGGUGAGGUAAGAGCUCACCAGCAUCGGGGUGACCCGAUGGCUUGGCAACCCCCACCUGGAGCAAGGCCAAGCAGGGAAGGUUCGAGGUGGUUCCGCCGAUCAUCCUUCCCGGGUAGGCCGCACGAGGGAUGUGGUAACACAUCCCCAAGAUGGAUGAUCACCCGAGACAGAAUCCGGCUUACAGCCCAGCUCCCCUG